GUGGGGAAUUUUGGACAAUGGGCGCAAGCCUGAUCCAGCAAUGCCGCGUGCAGGAAGAAGGCCUUCGGGUUGUAAACUGCUUUUGUACGGAACGAAACGGUCCGGGUUAAUACCCUGGGCUAAUGACGGUACCGUAAGAAUAAGCACCGGCUAACUACGUGCCAGCAGCCGCGGUAAUACGUAGGGUGCAAGCGUUAAUCGGAAUUACUGGGCGUAAAGCGUGCGCAGGCGGUUUUGUAAGACAGAGGUGAAAUCCCCGGGCUCAACCUGGGAACUGCCUUUGUGACUGCAAGGCUAGAGUACGGCAGAGGGGGAUGGAAUUCCGCGUGUAGCAGUGAAAUGCGUAGAUAUGCGGAGGAACACCGAUGGCGAAGGCAAUCCCCUGGGCCUGUACUGACGCUCAUGCACGAAAGCGUGGGGAGCAAACAGGAUUAGAUACCCUGGUAGUCC
rnacentral:rRNA from 1 species